GACGGAGGAUGCAAGCGUUAUCCGGAAUGAUUGGGCGUAAAGCGUCCGCAGGUGGCAGUUCAAGUCUGCUGUCAAAGACCGGGGCUUAACUUCGGAAAGGCAGUGGAAACUGAACAGCUAGAGUAUGGUAGGGGCAGAGGGAAUUCCUGGUGUAGCGGUGAAAUGCGCAGAUAUCAGGAAGAACACCCGUGGCGAAGGCGGUUCUCUGGGACGGUACUGACGCUGAGACGCGAAAGCGUGGGGAGCGAACAGG
rnacentral:rRNA from 1 species